UUGUUGGUAAGGUAAAAGCUUACCAAGGCUUCGAUCAGUAGCUGGUCUGAGAGGACGACCAGCCACACUGGGACUGAGACACGGCCCAGACUCCUACGGGAGGCAGCAGUGGGGAAUUUUGGACAAUGGGGGCAACCCUGAUCCAGCCAUGCCGCGUGAGUGAAGAAGGCCUUCGGGUUGUAAAGCUCUUUCAGCCGGAACGAAACGGUUACGGAUAACACCCGUGACUACUGACGGUACCGGAAGAAGAAGCACCGGCUAACUACGUGCCAGCAGCCGCGGUAAUACGUAGGGUGCGAGCGUUAAUCGGAAUUACUGGGCGUAAAGCGUGCGCAGGUGGUUUUGUAAGUCAGAUGUGAAAGCCCCGGGCUCAACCUGGGAACUGCGUUUGAAACUACAAGACUAGAGUGUGGCAGAGGGGGGUGGAAUUCCGCGUGUAGCAGUGAAAUGCGUAGAGAUGUGGAGGAACACCGAUGGCGAAGGCAGCCCCCUGGGUCAACACUGACGCUCAGGCACGAAAGCAUGGGGAGCAAACAGGAUUAGAUACCCUGGUAGUCCAUGCCCUAAACGAUGUCAACUAGUUGUCGGGCCUUUACGGGCUUGGUAACGUAGCUAACGCGUGAAGUUGACCGCCUGGGGAGUACGAUCGCAAGAUUAAAACUCAAAUGAAUUGACGGGGACCCGCACAAGCGGUGGAUUAUGUGUAUUAAUUCGAUGCAACGCGAAAAACCUUACCUACCCUUGACAUGUAUCGAAGCCCGCAGAAAAGCGGGGGUGCCCGAAAGGGAACGAUAACACAGGUGCUGCAUGGCUGUCGUCAGCUCGUGUCGUGAGAUGUUGGGUUAAGUCCCGCAGCGAGCGCAACCCUUGUCAUUAAUUGCCAUCAUUUAGUUGGGCACUUUAAUGAGACUGCCGG
rnacentral:rRNA from 1 species